GGCGGAGUAGCUCAGACGGCUAGAGCGUCGGAUUCAUAACCCGAAGGUCGGCAGUUCGAUUCUGCCCUCCGCUACCA
rnacentral:tRNA from 2 species